AUGAUAGAGUUGGUCAUGCCUCUGGUAUGUACUGGUCUCACUGCAUUCCUCCUUCCUGAUGAACCGUAAUGCCAUUAAUUUGGUGUUGCGGGGAAUUUGGACUGUUACUUUGAAAAAAUUAGAGUGUUUAAAGCAAGCUAACGCUUGAAUACAUUAGCAUGGAAUAAUGAAAUAGGACGUUCGAUCCUAUUUUGUUGGUUUCAGGAUUGACCUAUGAUUAAUACGGGAGUGG
rnacentral:rRNA from 1 species